rnacentral:rRNA from 1 species
GACGAACGCUGGCGGCGUGCUUAACACAUGCAAGUCGAACGAUGAAACCGCCUCCGGGCGGACAUGAAGUGGCGAACGGGUGAGUAACACGUGACCGACCUGCCCCCCGCCCAGGGACAGCCCCCCGAAAGGGGGAUUAAUACCUGGUACUCCGGAAGCGGCGCAUGCCGCCCCGGGGAAAGCUCUGGCGGCGGGGGAUGGGGUCGCGGCCCAUCAGGUAGACGGCGGGGCAGAGGCCCACCGUGCCGACGACGGGUAGCCGGGUUGAGAGACCGACCGGCCACAUUGGGACUGAGAUACGGCCCAGACUCCUACGGGAGGCAGCAGUGGGGAAUUUUGCGCAAUGGGGGCAACCCUGACGCAGCAACGCCGCGUGCGGGACGAAGGCGUCCGCGUCGUAACCGCUUUCAGCGGGGAACACUUUUCGAGGGUACCCGCAGAAGAAGCACCGGCUAACUACGUGCCAGCCGCCGCCGUAAUAC